CCGACGAUACCCGAAUGGGGAAACCCAGUGCAAUCCGUUGCACUAUCAUGUCAUGAAUACAUAGUGGCAUGAGGCGAACCGGGGGAACUGAAACAUCUAAGUACCCCGAGGAAAAGAAAUCAACCGAGAUUCCCCCAGUAGCGGCGAGCGAACGGGGAACAGCCCAGAACCUGAAUCAGUUUGUGCCUUAGUGGAAGCGUCUGGAAAGUCGCGCAGUAAAGGGUGACAGCCCCGUACACAAAAAGGCACUUGCUGUGAGUUCGAUGAGUAGGGCGGGACACGUGACAUCCUGUCUGAAUAUGGGGGGACCAUCCUCCAAGGCUAAAUACUCCUGACUGACCGAUAGUGAACCAGUACCGUGAGGGAAAGGCGAAAAGAACCCCGGCGAGGGGAGUGAAACAGAACCUGAAACCGUGUACGUACAAGCAGUGGGAGCACCUUCGUGGUGUGACUGCGUACCUUUUGUAUAAUGGGUCAGCGACUUAUAUUCUGUAGCAAGGUUAACCGUAUAGGGGAGCCGCAGGGAAACCGAGUCUUAACUGGGCGUUAAGUUGCAGGGUAUAGACCCGAAACCCGGUGAUCUAGCCAUGGGCAGGUUGAAGGUUGGGUAACACUAACUGGAGGACCGAACCGACUAAUGUUGAAAAAUUAGCGGAUGACCUGUGGCUGGGGGUGAAAGGCCAAUCAAACCGGGAGAUAGCUGGUUCUCCCCGAAAGCUAUUUAGGUAGCGCCUCGUGAAUUCAUCUCCGGGGGUAGAGCACUGUUUCGGCUAGGGGGCCAUCCCGGCUUACCAACCCGAUGCAAACUGCGAAUACCGGAGAAUGUUAUCACGGGAGACACACGGCGGGUGCUAACGUCCGUCGUGAAGAGGGAAACAACCCAGACCGCCAGCUAAGGUCCCAAAGUCAUGGUUAAGUGGGAAACGAUGUGGGAAGGCACAGACAGCCAGGAUGUUGGCUUAGAAGCAGCCAUCAUUUAAAGAAAGCGUAAUAGCUCACUGGUCGAGUCGGCCUGCGCGGAAGAUGUAACGGGGCUAAACCAUGCACCGAAGCUGCGGCAGCGG
rnacentral:rRNA from 1 species